AGGAAUGAGCCCGCGUACCGAAAUACAGUAGUGUUUUAGUUUUGACACUCAAACUGGUUGUGCCGCAGUUAGCGACGGGCAACCGGACACGUGUUGUUUUUGCUAGUAGCAUGCUAGUUGUCGGUUCACUGUAGGUGGCUCACAUUACUUCAAGUACAUAUCAAUAUUACGGCCCAGGUUACUGUUUGUGGUAAAUACAGAAAGCUGGAUUCUAGGCGCUGCAGUCCGGUACCUGUAACAUGAGCGUCUCCCGUCGUUGACCCUGUGAUGAACUGGCAGCUUGUCCUGGGAGCCGUCAGUGUGGCAUUCAAAAGGUUUUUUUAAAAACAUGUCUUGUAAAUCCA
rnacentral:lncRNA from 1 species